rnacentral:rRNA from 1 species
UCGAACGGACGAUGAAGAGCUUGCUUUUCAGAGUUAGUGGCGGACGGGUGAGUAACGCGUGGGUAACCUGCCUCAUACAGGGGAAUAGCAGCUGGAAACGGCUGAUAAAACCGCAUAAGCGCACAGCAUCGCAUGAUGCAGUGUGAAAAACUCCGGUGGUAUGAGAUGGACCCGCGUCUGAUUAGCUUGUUGGUGAGGUAACGGCCCACCAAGGCGACGAUCAGUAGCCGGCCUGAGAGGGUGACCGGCCACAUUGGGACUGAGACACGGCCCAAACUCCUACGGGAGGCAGCAGUGGGGAAUAUUGCACAAUGGGGGAAACCCUGAUGCAGCGACGCCGCGUGAAGGAAGAAGUAUCUCGGUAUGUAAACUUCUAUCAGCAGGGAAGAUAAUGACGGUACCUGACUAAGAAGCCCCGGCUAACUACGUGCCAGCAGCCGCGGUAAUACGUANGGGGCAAGCGUUAUCCGGAUUUACUGGGUGUAAAGGGAGCGUAGGCGGCGGAGCAAGUCAGAAGUGAAAGCCCGGGGCUCAACCCCGGGACGGCUUUUGAAACUGCCCUGCUUGAUUUCAGGAGAGGUAAGCGGAAUUCCUAGUGUAGCGGUGAAAUGCGUAGAUAUUAGGAGGAACACCAGUGGCGAAGGCGGCUUACUGGACUGACAAUGACGCUGAGGCUCGAAAGCGUGGGGAGCA